UUGCUGCUUCGCUGACGAGUGGCGGACGGGUGAGUAAUGUCUGGGAAACUGCCUGAUGGAGGGGGAUAACUACUGGAAACGGUAGCUAAUACCGCAUAACGUCGCAAGACCAAGGAGGGGGACCUUCGGGCCUCUUGCCAUCGGAUGUGCCCAGAUGGGAUUAGCUAGUAGGUGGGGUAACGGCUCACCUAGGCGACGAUCCCUAGCUGGUCUGAGAGGAUGACCAGCCACACUGGAACUGAGACACGGUCCAGACUCCUACGGGAGGCAGCAGUGGGGAAUAUUGCACAAUGGGCGCAAGCCUGAUGCAGCCAUGCCGCGUGUAUGAAGAAGGCCUUCGGGUUGUAAAGUACUUUCAGCGGGGAGGAAGGUGCUGAGGUUAAUAACCUCAGCAAUUGACGUUACCCGCAGAAGAAGCACCGGCUAACUCCGUGCCAGCAGCCGCGGUAAUACGGAGGGUGCAAGCGUUAAUCGGAAUUACUGGGCGUAAAGCGCACGCAGGCGGUCUGUCAAGUCGGAUGUGAAAUCCCCGGGCUCAACCUGGGAACUGCAUUCGAAACUGGCAGGCUAGAGUCUUGUAGAGGGGGGUAGAAUUCCAGGUGUAGCGGUGAAAUGCGUAGAGAUCUGGAG
rnacentral:rRNA from 1 species